UGUAAGCACUGCGGAGGGACACUGAGUGAGGUCUCACCUUGGCCCUCUCCUUCUGUUAUCCAGCGCAGGAGCUGCUUCCCAGAGACGGAGGAGAAGGUGAAGCACCUGAAGAGGAAAAACGCAGAGCUGGCGGUGAUCGCCAAACGACUGGAGGAGAGAGCCCGAAAACUGCAGGAGGCCAACCUCAAAGUCGUAACUGCUCCAGUGCCCCUGAAGGGUUCCAGCCUGGAGCUGUGUAAAAAAGCAUUUGCCCGCCAGCGUGCCAAGGACUUGACAGAGCAAGCCAGUGCUCUUCUGGCAAAAGACAAGCAGAUUGAAGCUCUGCAGCAGGAGUGCCGGGAGCUGCAGGCUAAGCUCAUUGCAGGGAAGGGUGACCCUCGCUGCCUGAACGUGGUGGAGUUCGACCGGCUGCUGCGGGAAUCCCAGAAAGAAGUGCUGCGGCUGCAGAGGCAAAUCGCUCUGAAGAACUUCAAGGACUGCCUGCGCUCCUCCAAAAACGGCUCGGGGGGCUCCUUGCCGAGCGCCGCCGUCCGCCCGGGCCCGGCGCCGAACGCCCGCGGCAAAGACUCACCCGCAGCGAAGGAGGUGGAACCAGGUGUGCUACCUCUGGGCCCUGCCUUGGAAGGACAUGAAAACUUCCCUCCAAAAAAUGCAGUAACAGACCAAGAGAGCAGCCAACAGAUACAGCAGCUGGAAUUUGAACUCAAGAAAAAACGCAAAAAAUGUGAAAACCUUGAGCAUGAAGUGAGGAAAAAGCAUAAAAGAUGCAAAGAACUCGAGAUCCAGCUGCAGGAGGUACAGAGUGAAAAUGCACGACUGGCCGAGGAGAACUUGCAACUGAAUGAGAAGGCCGGAUGGGCAGGACAGGUUGAAUCUGAAAAUGCUGACCUGAAGCUGCAGGUUGUUUUGGUUACUAAGGAACGGGAUUCAGUAAUUCAGAGAAAUCAAGGACUUCAAACCAAGCUGGAGAAUCUAGAGCAGGUGCUGAAGCACAUGAGAGAUGUGGCUGAGCGAAGGCAGCUGCUGGAAGCUGAACACAAGGAAGCACUGCUAGUCCUGCAGGAGAAGCAAGAGGAAGUCAGGCGGUUGCAGCAGGCACAGGCAGAGGCAAAAAGAGAACAUGAAGGAGCAGUACAGCUUCUAGAGGCUCGGGUGAAGGAUCUAGAAGACCAAUGCCGCAGUCAAACAGAGCAGUUCAGCCUUCUGUCCCAGGAGCUCAAACAAUUCCGACUUCAGACAGGAAAAAUUGACCUUCUCACCUCCACACUUGUGACUUCUGAACUUCCUCUUGCGCUGUGCAGCUCUACCCCACAGCCUCACUGGGAGAAGGAUUCAUCUGGUUCUGCAUUGCUUGCUCACCAGAGCACAAAGAAGGUUCACAAUGAGGAGACCAAUGAGUCGGAGUUGUCACAGCGGGUGCCUGAGGCUGCUGCUGGCUCCCCAGUUUCUGUUGCCAGUUCUCAGAAACAAGCCAAGAAAGUCGAAUCUCAGUCGAGCUCUUCAAAAUCAGAAUCCAUGCAGAACAGCUCCAAAUCCUGCCCAACACCAGAGGUGGACACUGCAAGUGAAAUGGAAGAACUGGAUGUUGACAGCAUCUCUCUGAUGCCAGAGCCAGGCAGCCAAGGCCCUGCGAAGCUCCAGGUCUUCUUGGCUCGAUACAGCUACAAUCCUUUUGAUGGACCUAAUGAAAAUCCAGAGGCAGAGCUUCCACUAACUGCUGGAGAGUACAUUUACAUCUAUGGAGACAUGGAUGAAGAUGGCUUCUUUGAAGGGGAGCUGAUGGAUGGCCGGCGAGGGCUGGUCCCCUCCAAUUUUGUUGAGCGAGUUUCAGAUGAUGACCUCAUGACGGUUCUGCCUUCGGAGCUGAAUGAUCUCACCCAUAGUUCAUACCAGGAGAAAAGUUUUGUCAGUGCAAGCACCAGCAGUGGAGAUAAGAGUGAUUUCUCCAUUGAAGAGAGUAGCAUCAGUCCGUUGGUCAGUAGAGCAGAAGGAGACCGGGAGGAACGUGUUAGUCACACAGCAGUGCCUUACCCGAGAAAAUUGACUCUGAUCAAGCAGCUUGCCAGAAGCGUAGUUGUAGGCUGGGAACCACCGCUGUUGCCUGCUGGCUGCCCAGACAUACAGAGCUACAAUAUCUAUGUGGAUGAAGAGCUACGGCAAAAUGUGAAGAGUGGCUUUCAGACCAAAGCAGUGAUUGAAAAGCUGGAUUUAAAGACAAAGGCUUACCGUGUGUCUGUGCAGAGUGUGACAGAGAAGGGCAGUUCUGAUAAACUGCGAUGCACUUUCUUUGUGGGGCAAGAUCUGUGUGUGGCACCGACUGUGCUGAAAGUCAGAAACGUCACUGCCACGUCAGCAGAGGUCACGUGGCUUCCCUGCAACAGCAAUUACAACCACGCGGUGUAUCUGAAUGGGGAGGAGUGUGACGUAACAAAACCAGGGGUCUACUGGUACACCUUCUGCAACCUGCAGCCCAACACUCAGUAUGUUGCCAAGCUGGAGGCCCGUCCCUUGAGAGCACUGUGGGAAGAGGUCUCAGAGGGGCAGGAGCAGAACUCAGCUGUGAUACACUUCACUACCCCGCUAGCAGGCACACCUGAUGCUCCUCUGGAUGUCCAGGUGGAAGUUGGUCCCUCUCCAGGAAUCCUUGUUAUCAGCUGGUUACCUGUCACUAUUGAUGCUGAAGGAUCUUCCAACGGAGUUCGAGUCACCGGUUACGCUGUGUAUGCGGAUGGACAGAAGGCAAUAGAAGUUACUUCUCCAACGGCCGGGAGUGUCCUUGUGGACCUGUCCCAGCUUCAGAUGUUCCAGGCAUGCCGGGAGGUUUCUGUGAGAACAAUGUCCCCGUAUGGAGAAUCAGUGGAUUCAGUUCCAGCCCAGAUUUCCUCAGUCUUGCUGAGAGCCUCUCAUUGUUCUUCACCUUCAGAUUCUGCUGGUUCUACUACUUUUACCUCUAGACUGCCCUGUGGGGAAUCCAGAGGCUCUCUGCCUGCACGCAGCCCACCCACGCACCACAUGGCUGCUCUCCUGCUUCAACAAAAAGUCCCCACUGGUAGCUCAGAUGCCAAAUUGACUGAUCUCUCCUCCAGCCACGAUGGCUCAGCACGAUCUCUGCCAGAGAAAGCCUCUUCGCUGCCGCAGCUCUCUUUGUCCAGCGCUCCCUUGGUGCACACCUCAGGCACUUCCCUGCUGGGAUCAGACGCUGCACAAGACAAGAAAUGCCUGACUGUGCCUCCUCAGCAAGCAGGCAGCACAAAACUCUCGGGUGAGGGCACAGACCCUGUCUCCUUGAGGGAAGCAGAAUUGGAAAGCCUGGGUGAAGGGACAGAAGUGCUGCUGGAGCAAAACAUAACCAAAAUGCCAGAGCUAGAAAGCCCAACUAACAGUAGCCUGAAGAUACGCAUGGAGACCUGCCAUACAUGCUCUGUGGAGUCACCAAAAAGUCCCAGUGCUGAAAGAGAGACAGAAGCAAAGGAGAAGAACUUGAGCCCAGAGCCCCUGCCCUCCCCCGACCUGGCUGAGGAGAUGGAGGGCACCUCCCGAGAGGCAAACAUGGCUGGAAGCAGCUGCCAGGAGUUCCUGAGGUUAUCACCUAGCAAGGAGGUGAUGAAAGAAAUGUCCAGAGUGAAAAGAGAGCAAGAAGAAAAAAUGUCUGAAAUAGGAAGACGACAGCUGACUCUUUUUGCUGAGCACAACCGCAGUUCAGACCUUUCAGAUAUAUUGGAGGAGGAAGAGGAAGAUGAACUGUCUUCAGAAGCUCUGGAUGAGAAGAAAUGGGAUCCAAGAGAGCCCUGUUACAGGGAGAACGGGGAGAAGAUGGAUCUUUGUGAUACUGACAGCGAUGAGGAGAUUCUGGAAAGGAUACUAGAGCUCCCACUUCAGAAGAACCACAGCAAGAAAUUGUUUAGCAUCCCUGAAGUGACUGAGGAUGAGGAUGAAGAUGAGGAUGAGGAUGAGAAGUGUGUUACAGAGGAAAAGGAAAAUCCUCAAGGCUCCUUGGAAGCACCUACAUACAUUGCAGAAAGGUCUGAGAAACCACUAAGCACCCAGGAUCCAUUUCCAAAGGCAGAUGGUAGUGAUUCCUCCCCCGAUCUGUCUGCUCAGACUCCACGGGAGGAGCAGACUGCUAAGGAGAGUAGAGGGAGUGCUGACCACAUGAGCCCCAGCUGGAGUCAGAAAAGGGCAAACUGGAACUGGGGCUACCAACAGAAUGAUCUGAAGUCCGAGAGUGGGGAAAGCCCCACUCGGAGCAAGAAGAAGGGAAAUAACUAUCGAGAGAAGAUGCGGGGUCGACCUGAGAUGGGUAGGAAGAGACAGAAUGAUUCCACAGAGCACUGCAGUCGUCUGCUGGGCAACUGCAGCCAGAUGGGAGGCGGGUUGUACAGAGCUCCCAGCCUCCGGGAGGAGCUGAACAUUGUGAGCAGCUCUGCUGGUAAGGAGGGGUUUGAUGCGUACACUCGUGCUAGGCAAAGCGCCUCUCGAAGAAACUAUGGGAAAACAGUGGUUUCAGGGUUUGCAGAACCUGCUGGGAUGGCAGCACACUGCUCCAGCUCCGGGAGCCUGGAAAUAGACAUUGAGUAUGACUCUGAAGACGAUCAGGAUUCGACCUGUUCAUCCCCUCCUGAGAGCAGGCUGUGGCCAGAAGGGGCCCAGAACUGUCAGGGGGAAUGGAGCGAUUGCUCCAGUCAAUCUGAAGUUAUCCACACAGAUGGCAGAAGGAACCUGACCAGACUGGAGAGAGUAGAAGAGCAGGGUAUGGAGUGGGCUGGGUCUCCAAGCUGGCGCCUGCGAUCCUUCUGCCAGGAGAAGGAAGCACUGAGGUGUGAGAGCAGCUCUGAGGAGCAAGGCUGGGAGCAGGACUGUAAGUCACCUGGCUGGAGAAGGAGGCUCGAACAUCCUUGGAAGGGGAUACGUAGCACCUCCUUGCACAAAAGGGCAUCUGGUAAUAAAGAUCCUAGGGGCCAGGAGCUGCCUGGCUCAGCUACCUGGCAGACUCCCAGCAGAAGAGGGAGCAGGAGCUUAAGAAGAUGCCAAAUGCAGAAGCCUUUGCUUUCCAGUCCAGGUCCUUCAAGGAGCUCUGCUUCAGAAACCACUGUUAAAGAUGAUGGCAUAAGAAUAUUUGUGGCCCUGUUUGAUUACGAUCCUGUUUCCAUGUCUCCUAACCCUGAUGCGGCAGAAGAGGAGCUCCCGUUUAAGGAGGGGCAGAUCCUGAAGGUGUGCGGAGACAAGGAUGCUGAUGGCUUCUACAGGGGUGAAUGUGCAGGAAGAGAGGGAUACAUACCCUGUAACAUGGUGUCUGAAGUCCAGGUGGAGAAUAAUGAAAUCAAGAUGCAGCUCCUAAAGCAAGGGUUUCUUCCUGCUGACCCACCAACGGACAGCAUAGGAAAUGGCACAUUUUCUCCACCUCCACGCCGCCAAACCGUCCCUCCUCCAAAACCCAGACGCUCCAAGAAAGAACUAGAUAAACAGGAGAAGUACAAGUCUCAUCCAGGACAGAAGCAUCAGGACUUUGAAGCUGAACUGCUGACUCCUAGAAGUAUGGUGGCUGUCUUCGACUACAACCCCAAGGAGAGCUCUCCAAAUGCAGAUGCAGAGGCUGAACUGACUUUCAGUGCAGGGGACAUUAUCACUGUGUUUGGGUCCAUGGAUGAUGAUGGAUUCUACUACGGAGAGCUGAACCAGCAGAGAGGGCUUGUCCCGUCUAACUUUUUGGAAGCUGUAACCUCAGAUGGAGACGUGGCUGAGGAGCUUCACUCAAAAGAUAGAGACACUUUUUUGCUGGGCGCUGAGAGCCAGGUAAGACUGCGUGGCUGCGUAGUGCAGGCAUUCAAACUGUGACGUGCUUGGAGACUGGGCUCUGCACAGCAUGCAGCACCUCAUGGAGUCACAUCAGUGAUUGCAUGCAGCUCAGUUCAUCCCAUGGGAGCUCAGGAGUUUAGAGGGGAGCACCAGGAGUUCUUAAAGAUUUAACCUUAAUAUGAAAAAAAGGUACCAAAGAGCAACAUUCAUGGAAUCCUCGUGCUCAGUUUGGUUAGGGGAGCAAAGAACAUGGCAGGUUCCAACAGCAAGUUCUUCAGAUGCUCACAGGGGUCAGUGUGAAAUGCCACUGCACACAGAACGGUUCAGGUGGCUUCCCAGGCACAGUAUUCCUCAGGUAUGUUCAUAUCCACGUGAAGGAUUUCUGGGAUUAUUAACAACUAAGCACCAAUGUUUUUCCACCUCUCCCAAGUUAAAUGCAUCUCAGACAAAUUCAAAAGAUACAGGGGAGUUUCUCAACCAGAUCUGAUGAAUGAAUUCAUGGCCUGAGGCUUUGAGAGCAACCCACAGAUGCAAGGAGUUCCAAGGUUGGGCUGUCCCCCCUUGCUUUAUGUUUCUGAUGCUUUUCAAGCAAAUGCUUCAGCAGGAGAUUUGGGUUACAUGCCGGAUUCAGUCAGUCCUCAGUGGGUGAGGCCAAAAGUAUGGCACCUCUCUGGUAACUCCCAAAUCCUCUGUGCUGUGGUAUUCUAGAGAGUGGGAGACAGGAAGGUACACAGACCCAUAAAAGUGUGGAAGAGCAAAGCCAGGUUGGCUGUGAGCUACUCCUAAAGGCAGUGUGUUGUCCUGAAUCUUCCUGUUAGUCUCUUCACUGGUGUCACGCUAGCUUUCUAACUCCUUGCACUGUCAUUUGUCCUAUUUUUCAUGCUCUGCUCCUCCUUUGCUCACCUUCAUCUCCCUGUCCCUGCCUGGUCUGCCACAGGCACCCUCUGCAGCCCAGCACAUCAAGCUUUGUGGGUGCAGUGUUUGUCCCACAGCCUCAAUGCCUUUCUGUGAGAGGUGUCAGGAAUGCAUCGGAAAUAAGGUUUAUGGAUAAUUUACUGGAUCAUCUCCUAAACCCAGAAGCAGUUUUGGGUCUCUCAUGCUUGUCUGUGUAGGAUACUCAGUCCCUUUGAUCUCAGCCCACAAAUGCUGGUAUGCGCUGAGGAACUGCAGUAUUUAAUGAGCUCUUAUUACCAUGGUUUGGCAACUGGGAGGUUGCACAGGUCGAAAUUCUGAGUGGAAACAAGUAUUCAGCGAGGUUUUUCUUCUCUUGUUUCCCUCAGAACAAUUUACUCUUCCCAAAUUAUCCAUCAAUUAGAACAGAAGGUGUUGAAGGAGACCUGAGCCAGUACAGUUGUAACAGGCUGAAUUGGUAGUACAACUUAUUCCACAUCUGACAUCCUCUCAGGUAACAGCUGGCAAAGGCCAGCUCAGAUGUCCAAGAAUUGUCAUUCCAGCCCCAGUCUGGGUCCCAGAAAUCUCGGUGAAAAAAUCAUGGGAAAUAAUGGGAAAUUCAGUUAACCAUUUGGGCUCAGAGAACUGAUCUGCUGCUUGCAAAUGUGAAGUAUGUGGCUCAGCAAAUGGUGUUCGUGGCAUACGCAGCCCCUGUGCUCUUGUACCUGUUUGCAUUUCUCUUCUGUGUCUCAGCUUCCUCACCAAUAAGACGUCGGUUUGGCCUGCUGUAUCCCAGGCUGUGUCAUGAGCUUACAGGAUCCUGAGGGCACGUCUGCUCUGCUGCUGGGCAGGGAGCACCAGCUGCUUCUGCUUGCUGCCCUGCAGUUUGCUGCUGCUCCCUCUGCACUGCCCUUUCCACUUGUGCUGUGUUCUGCAGCAGGUUCCUGUUUCCCUGGACGCAGCAGUUCACCACUCUGACUCCACACAGUCCUGGUCUCUGUUUCUGCUUUGCAGUCCAGAUGUAUCUGAACAGCUUCCAAAUAUGAAGGGCGUGCUUGUCUGCCUGUCUCUUUGUAAAAGCAGUAUGUUUACCCUGCUCCUAACCAAGCUUGUGCUACCUAACUACAUUCAAGUACAUUCAGUGAUUUCUGAGGAGAGGCAGAACCUGACCCACAGAGUUGUUGGCUGUCAUAGCAAUCACAGCAUCCACACCUAUAAGCAGAGCUCCUGAUAGGUAAGGCAGAAGGAACAUGUCUUCCUAUAGAAUAUUUUAGGGGCACUGUGAUACAGCCCCACCUGAGGCUUUCUGGUCUUCCACAUAUUCAUUCCAUAGUUUAAGAGUGUGCCAUUUAAGUGUGGUGUUGGUGUGUGUAUCUAGCAGAACACAGAUGGAAGCAUCUCUGGGUUGGGGUGAAUGGUCAGGGGGAGUGCAAAAGCCCCUGGCAGCCUUUAGGGAAGCACUGUUUGAAUAUUAAACACAGCAUAACAAGUCUCCCAUCAAAUUUGCCAGCUUCAUUCAUCUUAAAAGCUAACUCAUCAAUGAGCAUGUAUCCUCACCGUGUAUCCUGUCUGAGCUUUGGGCUGUGUUAAAGCUACUUCAAGUCUUAACAGAAGCUUCUCCAGCAUGACCAGGAGUGGUUUUUGAAUUGCUUAUAACUUCUUGGAUUUCAAGUUUUCACCAGAUCUCUUCUUCCCAUUUGCUUUUUGCAUUCUGAUAUGACAAAGGCUUGAGAAUAAGGACAAUUUGAAUGUUGAACUGGGGAAGGUGAAUUAUUAGAACUAUUUCUGAGCAAAUUUUAAAAUGCUGACAACAGAUAAAGGUAAAGCGAUUUAACUUUCAAACUGACAUCAAUUUGGCUGGAGUGAGCAGUAAAAAAUGCAGUGCAAAGAGGAGUAUCCAAGAAGUUAUGAUCACAAGCGAGGGCACUGAAACACUGCUGUUCAGCAGCUAGGAGUGGCCUGCUUUAAUGCCAUGGCUGCUGAAUGAAUCUUUUUGCAUUGCCAGUACAGUUUCUGUCAGACUGAUUGUAAAGCAUCUUCAGAAAGUAUUCCAUUCUAAUUGAUUUCAUGUAUUUAUUUCUGCCUGUAUUAUGCACCCAUGGCGGUUCUUUCCUUCAGAGAAUGAGGAAGAGAAGAGUCCAGUGAUAGAUAUGAAUGAUACAUAGAGAGAGAGCAACCAUUUAAAUCCAGAUGGAUCUGUUGAUCACAGUGACUUCC